rnacentral:rRNA from 1 species
UGGGGAAUUUUGGACAAUGGGCGAAAGCCUGAUCCAGCAAUGCCGCGUGUGUGAAGAAGGCCUUCGAGUUGUAAAGCACUUUUGUCCGGAAAGAAAUCCUUGGCUCUAAUACAGUCGGGGGAUGACGGUACCGGAAGAAUAAGCACCGGCUAACUACGUGCCAGCAGCCGCGGUAAUACGUAGGGUGCAAGCGUUAAUCGGAAUUACUGGGCGUAAAGCGUGCGCAGGCGGUUUGCUAAGACCGAUGUGAAAUCCCCGGGCUCAACCUGGGAACUGCAUUGGUGACUGGCAGGCUAGAGUAUGGCAGAGGGGGGUAGAAUUCCACGUGUAGCAGUGAAAUGCGUAGAGAUGUGGAGGAAUACCGAUGGCGAAGGCAGCCCCCUGGGCCAAUACUGACGCUCAUGCACGAAAGCGUGGGGAGCAAACAGGAUUAGAUACCCUGGUAGUCCACGCCCUAAACGAUGUCAACUAGUUGUUGGGGAUUCAUUUCCUUAGUAACGUAGCUAACGCGUGAAGUUGACCGCCUGGGGAGUACGGUCGCAAGAUUAAAAGCUUAAA